rnacentral:rRNA from 1 species
CAGCAGCCGCGGGAAUACGAAGGGUGCAAGCGUUAAUCGGAAUUACUGGGCGUAAAGCGUGCGUAGGCGGUGAGUUAAGUCUGCUGUGAAAUCCCCGGGCUCAACCUGGGAAUGGCAGUGGAUACUGGCUCGCUAGAGUGUGUCAGAGGAUGGUGGAAUUCCCGGUGUAGCGGUGAAAUGCGUAGAGAUCGGGAGGAACAUCAGUGGCAAAGGCGGCCAUCUGGGACAACACUGACGCUGAGGCACGAAAGCGUGGGGAGCAAACAGGAUUAGAUACCCCGGUAGUCCCUGUCUCUUAUAC